rnacentral:RNase_P_RNA from 1 species
CUGGCUGAAAGUUGACUUUAGGAAUCACUUACCAGUAUUUAUUACUGUCUUUAUUCCUGGGAAGGUCUGAGAUAAGGCUCCUGAUUACCUUUGGUAAUCAGCAUCCUCCAGGAGGGGAUUUCUCGUAAAGAGAUUGGUUCCGUACCUGAAGAGAUACUAAAAAUCAACCUUUGAACAAGAAGUUUCAAUUUAUUGAAAUGGAUUUCUACAGGUUGGUUGUUUAGUUUGGACUACGGCGCCGGUGCCAGCUAGUUUAAGUUCGAUAGUCAAUGAGAAUAUUGUAAAAGAUAUUCAAAACUCAAUUCAGACUACUCUUCGACCAG